GACGAACGCUGGCGGCGUGCCUAAUACAUGCAAGUAGAACGCUGAAGAGAGGAGCUUGCUCUUCUUGGUUGAGUUGCGAACGGGUGAGUAACGCGUAGUUAACCUGCCUUGUAGCGGGGGAUAACUAUUGGAAACGAUAGCUAAUACCGCAUAACAAUGGAUGACACAUGUCAUUUAUUUGAAAGGGGCAAUUGCUCCACUACAAGAUGGACCUGCGUUGUAUUAGCUAGUAGGUGAGGUAAUGGCUCACCUAGGCGACGAUACAUAGCCGACCUGAGAGGGUGAUCGGCCACACUGGGAAUGAGACACGGCCCAGACUCCUACGGGAGGCAGCAGUAGGGAAUCUUCGGCAAUGGGGGCAACCCUGACCGAGCAACGCCGCGUGAGUGAAGAAGGUUGUCGGAUCGUAAAGCUCUGUUGUAAGUCAAGAACGGGUGUGAGAGUGGAAAGUUCACACUGUGACGGUAGCUUACCAGAAAGGGACGGCUAACUACGUG
rnacentral:rRNA from 1 species